AUGCAGGCCCUGCAGCAGGCCAUGGCUGAGCAGCGUGCCCGGGCCCGGCUCUCUAGCGCUUAUCUGCUGGGAGUUCCAGGCUCAGAGCAGCCUGACCGCGCUGGCAGCCUGGAGCUUCGUGGCUUCAAGAAUAAGCUGAGUACCACCUGGGCAUUGGCAUCACCUUCAUCGACAUGAGCGUGGGCAACGUGAAGGAAGUGGACCGGCGCAGCUUCGACCUCACCACGCCCUACCGCAUCUUCAGGUGACCCUCCAUCUUCUUGGCUCACCG
rnacentral:lncRNA from 1 species